rnacentral:rRNA from 1 species
CCUACGGGUGGCAGCAGUGGGGAAUAUUGCACAAUGGGCGCAAGCCUGAUGCAGCCAUGCCGCGUGUGUGAAGAAGGCCUUCGGGUUGUAAAGCACUUUCAGCGGGGAGGAAGGCGUUAAGGUUAAUAACCUUGGCGAUUGACGUUACCCGCAGAAGAAGCACCGGCUAACUCCGUGCCAGCAGCCGCGGUAAUACGGAGGGUGCAAGCGUUAAUCGGAAUUACUGGGCGUAAAGCGCACGCAGGCGGUCUGUCAAGUCGGAUGUGAAAUCCCCGGGCUCAACCUGGGAACUGCAUUCGAAACUGCCAGGCUAGAGUCUUGUAGAGGGGGGUAGAAUUCCAGGUGUAGCGGUGAAAUGCGUAGAGAUCUGGAGGAAUACCGGUGGCGAAGGCGGCCCCCUGGACAAAGACUGACGCUCAGGUGCGAAAGCAUGGGGAGCAAACAGGAUUAGAUACCCCGGUAGUC